GGAGAGAUGGCCGAGUGGUUAAAGGCAACAGACUGUAAAUCUGUCGACGUAUGUCUACGUAGGUUCGAACCCUACUCUCUCCACCA
rnacentral:tRNA from 1 species